AUUGAACGCUGGCGGCAGGCUUAACACAUGCAAGUCGAGCGAGCGGCGGACGGGUGGGUAAUGUCUGGGAAACUGCCUGAUGGAGGGGGAUAACUACUGGAAACGGUAGCUAAUACCGCAUACCAUCAGAUGUGCCCAGAUGGGAUUAGCUAGUAGGUGGGGUAAUGGCUCACCUAGGCGACGAUCCCUAGCUGGUCUGAGAGGAUGACAAGCGACACGGGAACGGGACCACGGUCCGUACGCCUACGGGAGGCAGCAGUGGGGAAGAUUGCACAGUGGGGGCAAGUCUGAUGCAGCCAUGCCGCGCGUGUGAAAGAGGCCUUGGGGUUGUAAAGCACUUUCAGCGAGGAGGCGUUACUCGCAGAAGAAGCACCGGCUAACUCCGUGCCAGCAGCCGCGGUAAUUC
rnacentral:rRNA from 1 species